AGUGAUACGCUUGUCCUAAAGAUUAAGCCAUGCAGGUCUCAGUAUGAGGUGUUCCACACCGAAGCUGCGAAUGGCUCAUUAAAAUAGUCACAGUUUAUUUGUUGGUCGCUGAUUACGCGGAUACCUGCGGAAAAACCAGAGCUAAUAUGUGCGGCAAAUCGCGACUCGACGGAAGCGUUGUGUUUAUUAGGUGCGGAACCAGACCGGCUCGCCGGCCCUGGGGCGACUCGAAAUAAGUGGGCGGAGCGCACGACUAGUGUCGGCGCCGCAUCAUUCAAGUCUCUGACCUAUCAGCUUUCGACGGCGGGGUAUUGGCCUACCGUGGCGUUGACGGGUAACGGGGAAUUAGGGUUCGGUUCCGGAGAGGGAGCCCGAGAAACGGCUACCACAUCUAAGGAAGGCAGCAGGCGCGCAAAUUACCCAAUUCUGACACAGGGAGGUAGCGACAAGAAAUAACGGAGCAAGCCAGUACUCUGGUUGUGCUACCGGAAUGAGUAGAUUUUAAAGCUCAUUGCGACUACCCAU
rnacentral:rRNA from 1 species